rnacentral:rRNA from 1 species
GAUGAACGCUGGCGGCGUGCCUAAUACAUGCAAGUCGAACGAAACUUCUUUAUCACCGAGUGCUUGCACUCACCGAUAAAGAGUUGAGUGGCGAACGGGUGAGUAACACGUGGGCAACCUGCCCAAAAGAGGGGGAUAACACUUGGAAACAGGUGCUAAUACCGCAUAACCAUAGUUACCGCAUGGUAACUAUGUAAAAGGUGGCUAUACUACCGCUUUUGGAUGGGCCCGCGGCGCAUUAGCUAGUUGGUAGGGUAAAGGCUUACCAAGGCAAUGAUGCGUAGCCGAAUUGAGAGGUUGAUCGGCCACAUUGGGACUGAGACACGGCCCAAACUCCUACGGGAGGCAGCAGUAGGGAAUCUUCCACAAUGGGCGAAAGCCUGGUGGAGCAACGCCGCGUGGGUGAAGAAGGUCUUCGGAUCGUAAAACCCUGUUGUUAGAGAAGAAAGUGCGUGAGAGUAACUGUUCACGUUUCGACGGUAUCUAACCAGAAAGCCACUGCUAACUACGUG